UGACCUCAAAUCAGGUAGGAUUACCCGCUGAACUUAAGCAUAUCAAUAAGCGGAGGAAAAGAAACUAACAAGGAUUCCCC
rnacentral:rRNA from 1 species